GACGAACGCUGGCGGCGUGCUUAACACAUGCAAGUCGAACGGAAAGGCCCUGCUUUUGUGGGGUGCUCGAGUGGCGAACGGGUGAGUAACACGUGAGUAACCUGCCCUUGACUUUGGGAUAACUUCAGGAAACUGGGGCUAAUACCGGAUAGGAGCUCCUGCUGCAUGGUGGGGGUUGGAAAGUUUCGGCGGUUGGGGAUGGACUCGCGGCUUAUCAGCUUGUUGGUGGGGUAGUGGCUUACCAAGGCUUUGACGGGUAGCCGGCCUGAGAGGGUGACCGGCCACAUUGGGACUGAGAUACGGCCCAGACUCCUACGGGAGGCAGAAGUGGGGAAUAUUGCACAAUGGGCGGAAGCCUGAUGCAGUAACGCCGCGUGCGGGAUGACGGCCUUCGGGUUGUAAACCGCUUUCGCCUGUGACGAAGCGUGAGUGACGGUAAUGGGUAAAGAAGCACCGGCUAACUACGUG
rnacentral:rRNA from 1 species